CGGGUCGCAGCGGAUUGGUCAAGCAGGGGAAGCCAUGGCGGACCAUAGCAACAAAAGCUGACUACUCUCUUGUCUCAACCCCCUGGUGGCCAUUUGGUGAAGAGCACACUCUGUGGUUCAUGCAAGCAAACACUACAUUGCUGGAAUGGCUGACAUUUUCACUGAGGCUUCUUUGAUUAUGGGCCGAAUGCAGCCGUCAGGAAUGAGGAUUAUCUGACUGGUGCCGUGACCCCAGCUGUCCUCAGCAUGGCCAGCCAUCUGAGUUAAAACUCAGUUUACAGGAGGUGCUGUCAUCUGCAGGACACAAUAAACCAGCUUCAUCACUAUCUGUCAAGGAUGGAGUGGAAGUGACAACACACCCUUCCAGUUGUGUAGCACUGUGGCUCAGGGUGUGACUUUAUAAGUAAUAGGUGAAGGUGUGUGUGGAGCCGUGUGUGUGUGUUGCCUCCUGCUUCACACAGACACAGCAGAAGAUUCAGCUUUGAAGCAUGAUUACACUAGUCUAUCAGACUGAAAACAUUCGUCCUCUGAGCAAGGCUGUCCUGUUAGCUGUGGGUUUUGCGUGUCUCUCUUCCUAACUCUUACAUAGAUUGUCUGCAAGGACAAAUGAUUUCAUUGUCACAACAACUUGUACAAGACAAAAAAAACACGCAUUUACUGUUUUUUUCUACUCGUAGGGGAACUAAAAAAUAGACAUAUUUAGACUGAACAGCAUGUUGAUAUUUGCAAGCAGCCUCAAUAUUUGAUCAGCCAUGUCAACAAUGCAUGGUGCCUUGUAAAAGUGUUAAUAUCCCUUGAAUUAUUUCACAGUUUGACACAAUAAAGUCAGAAACCUCAAAGUAUUUUAUUCUGAUUUUAUGUGAUCCAUCAAAUUUUGUAAAUUGUAUUUCUAAUAGAAAUCAUUAUUAGUGUGGCCUGCACUAAUUAUUAAAUCCAGAUAUGUAGAGUGUAUAUAUUAUGUUUAUGGUAAAUAGGAAAUGGCCUGUACUUGUAGCGCUUUUUAAAAUCAGAGGACUCCAAAUAGCUUUACACUACAAUCAGCCAUCUUUCCAUUCAUGCACACAUUCACACACUGACAGUGGUAAGCUACAUUGUAGCUACAGCUGCCCUAGAGCAGACAGACAGAAGUGAGGCUGCCAUACAAUCGGCACCACUGAGCCCCUCUGACCACCAUCAGCAGGCAAGUUGGGUGAGGUGUCUUGCCCAAGGACACAAUGACUAAAAGGGCCGGAGUGGGGAUUUGAACUGGUCCACCUGAGCCACCAUCACCCCUGUUGUCCUGUUGACAGAUCCCCCCCCAUUCAGCUGUGGAUCUCUGCAGCUCCUCCAGAGUUACCAUGGGCCUCUUAAGCUGAAUCUCUUAUUAACUGUCUCCUUGACCAGCCUGUCAGUUUAGGUAGAUGGCCAUGGCUUGGUAGGUUAUGUUGUUCUCUUUCGGUUCUUAGAUGAACUGAAAAGUGCUCAAUAAAAAUGUUCAAAGGAUGUGACAUUGUGUUGACCUGUGGUUCAGACUGUUAGAAAGUGGACUGAUGACUCAAAGCAGAUGUUACAGGCCUGCUUUGACUGCACAGUUUGG